rnacentral:lncRNA from 1 species
AAAAAAAAGAAAAGGAAAAGAAAAAAAAAGAAAAAAAAAGCCAAAAAAAGGGACAACGACAUCAUCAACACGGACAGGGCCCUCCACCACUCUGCUACACUCCAACAAACUUCAUGGACAUUUUUUAUUAUACUAGGCACGUGACAUAAUAGAAUUGGUGCUCCAUCAGGUAGGAUGAGGUACAAAGGGCACGAUCCUCCCUCACGCAGGACGGCCAAACCAAGUUUAUCCUUGCAACCAUCACAUACAACUAGAGGCCCC